AAAGAAUCCAUGGCCCGGCCGGGCCCGGACCCUAAAGGACCGGGCGGUUCCUCCUCCCGCGGCGAGCGCGGAGCAGUUUCCCUUCGCCGCUUCCGGGACUGCACACGUGCCUCCGAGCAACCACGACAACAGCUAGCCUCCCGCCCGCCCUCCUCUCGCAGCCGCAGCCUGCCUUCAAAGCGGAGCAAGGCCCGCGGACGGCGCAGCCAAUAGGCUUUCUGGGGUUUGCUCUCUAGCUAAUGGGAGGACUAUCUUUUUACGCCCUUGGCCAGUAAGAGAGCAGAUGGUGGCCUCAGCGACCUAUGGCAAAGUCCUUUCCCACCCCCUAACGGAGGCUCUGGGAGAGAGAGGAUGCAGGACCAGGACCCGAGGAGAAGAAGCCUGCGUCUGGACCUGGGUGGGACGGAUUCAGGCGCGCAGCAACAACAGGGUGCCUGGCACAAGGAGAUACUCAGUAAAACUCUCAUCUGCUGUGUCAUUAAGGGGAACACUUAAUGGCUCACGCCUGUAAUCCCAGCACUUUGGGAGGCCGAGGCGGGAGGAUCAUCUGAGCCCAGGAGUUGGAGACCAGCUUGGGCAACAGAGUGAGACCCUGUCUCAACAAAGAAGAAGAAGAAAAAGGCCAGGCGCCGUGGCUUAUGUCUGUAAUCCCAGCACUUUGGGAGGCCAAGAAGGGAG
rnacentral:lncRNA from 1 species